AUGCAAGUCGAGCGGUAACAGGUGUAGCAAUACACGCUGACGAGCGGCGAACGGGUGAGUAAUGUUUCGGAAUCUGCCCAAUGGUGGGGAAUAACCAGCCGAAAGGUUGGCUAAUACCGCAUACGCCCUACGGGGGAAAGCGGGGGAUCGCAAGACCUCGCACCGAUGGAUGAGCCGAAACCGGAUUAGCUAGUUGGUAGGGUAACGGCCUACCAAGGCGACGAUCCGUAGCUGGUCUGAGAGGACGACCAGCCACACUGGGACUGAGACACGGCCCAGACUCCUACGGGAGGCAGCAGUGGGGAAUAUUGGACAAUGGGGGAAACCCUGAUCCAGCGACGCCGCGUGUGUGAAGAAGGCCUGCGGGUUGUAAAGCACUUUUAGUGGGGAUGAAAAGCUCAGGGCUAACACCUCUGAGUCUUGACCUAACCCACAGAAAAAGCACCGGCUAACUCUGUGCCAGCAGCCGCGGUAAUACAGAGGGUGCAAGCGUUAAUCGGAAUUACUGGGCGUAAAGCGUGCGUAGACGGUUAAGUAAGUCGGGUGUGAAAGCCCCGGGCUCAACCUGGGAAUUGCAUUCGAGACUGCCUAGCUAGGGUGCGGAAGAGGGAAGCGGAAUUUCCGGUGUAG
rnacentral:rRNA from 1 species